AUGGAUGGGGAUGCGUCUGAUUAGCUUGUUGGCGGGGUAACGGCCCACCAAGGCGACGAUCAGUAGGGGUUCUGAGAGGAAAGGUCCCCCACAUUGGAACUGAGACACGGUCCAAACUCCUACGGGAGGCAGCAGUGAGGAAUAUUGGUCAAUGGGCGAGAGCCUGAACCAGCCAAGUAGCGUGCAGGAUGACGGCCCUAUGGGUUGUAAACUGCUUUUAUAAGGGAAUAAAGUGAGUCUCGUGAGACUUUUUGCAUGUACCUUAUGAAUAAGGACCGGCUAAUUCCGUGCCAGCAGCCGCGGUAAUACGGAAGGUCCGGGCGUUAUCCGGAUUUAUUGGGUUUAAAGGGAGCGUAGGCCGGAGAUUAAGCGUGUUGUGAAAUGUAGACGCUCAACGUCUGCACUGCAGCGCGAACUGGUUUCCUUGAGUACGCACAAAGUGGGCGGAAUUCGUGGUGUAGCGGUGAAAUGCUUAGAUAUCACGAAGAACUCCGAUUGCGAAGGCAGCUCACUGGAGCGCAACUGACGCUGAAGCUCGAAAGUGCGGGUAUCGAACAGGAUUAGAUACCCCGGUAGUCCGCACGGUAAACGAUGGAUGCCCGCUGUUGGUCUGAAUAGGUCAGCGGCCAAGCGAAAGCAUUAAGCAUCCCACCUGGGGAGUAC
rnacentral:rRNA from 1 species